rnacentral:rRNA from 1 species
GUGAGCGGCAGACGGGUGAGUAACGCGUGGGAAUCUACCUAUUUCUACGGAAUAACACAGAGAAAUUUGUGCUAAUACCGUAUACGUCCUGAGGGAGAAAGAUUAUAUCGGAGAUAGAUGAGCCCGCGUUGGAUUAGCUAGUUGGUAGGGUAAAGGCCUACCAAGGCGACGAUCCAUAGCUGGUCUGAGAGGAUGAUCAGCCACACUGGGACUGAGACACGGCCCAGACUCCUACGGGAGGCAGCAGUGGGGAAUAUUGGACAAUGGGGGCAACCCUGAUCCAGCCAUGCCGCGUGAGUGAAGAAGGCCUUAGGGUUGUAAAGCUCUUUCGCCGGUGAAGAUAAUGACGGUAGCCGGAGAAGAAGCCCCGGCAAACUUCGUGCCAGCAGCCGCGGUAAUACGAAGGGGGCUAGCGUUGUUCGGAUUUACUGGGCGUAAAGCGCAUGUAGGCGGAUACUUAAGUCAGAGGUGAAAUCCCAGGGCUCAACCUUGGAACUGCCUUUGAUACUGGGUGUCUAGAGAGU